rnacentral:rRNA from 1 species
GUUGAACGCUGGCGGCAGGCCUAACACAUGCAAGUCGAGCGGAUGAAGGGAGCUUGCUCCUGGAUUCAGCGGCGGACGGGUGAGUAAUGCCUAGGAAUCUGCCUGGUAGUGGGGGAUAACGUCCGGAAACGGGCGCUAAUACCGCAUACGUUCUGAGGGAGAAAGUGGGGGAUCUUCGGACCUCACGCUAUCAGAUGAGCCUAGGUCGGAUUAGCUAGUUGGUGGGGUAAAGGCCUACCAAGGCGACGAUCCGUAACUGGUCUGAGAGGAUGAUCAGUCACACUGGAACUGAGACACGGUCCAGACUCCUACGGGAGGCAGCAGUGGGGAAUAUGGGUAAAUGGGCGAAAGCCGGAUCCAGCCAUGCCGCGUGUGUGAAGAAGGUCUUCGGAUUGUAAAGCUCUUUAAGUUGGGAGGAAGGGCAGUAAGUUAAUACCUUGCUGUUUUGACGUUACCAACAGAAUAAGCACCGGCUAACUUCGUG